rnacentral:rRNA from 1 species
UACGUAGGGGGCAAGCGUUGUCCGGAAUCAUUGGCGUAAAGCGCGUGUAGGCGGUCCGGUAAGUCCGCUGUGAAAGUCGGGGGUCAACCUCGGAUGCCGGUGGAUACUGUCGGGCUUGAGUACGGAAGAGGCGAGUGGAAUCCUGGUGUAGCGGUGAAGUGCGCAGAUAUCAGGAGGACACCUGAGGUGAAGACGGGUUGCUGGGCUGACACUGACGUGGAGGCGCGAAAGCUAGGGUAGCAAACGGG